GUUUGCUUCAACAGUACACACACUAAAAGUGGGACAAUACAGAAAAUAUUAGGAUGGCCUUGUACAAGGAUGACACACAAAUUUGUGAAGCAUUUCAUAUUAAA